rnacentral:sRNA from 1 species
UAGUUAAUGGUUGGGCUACUUGCGAAAA